rnacentral:rRNA from 1 species
AGCAGUCGCCACUGGAAAACGGAGGAUCCGAGCGUUAUCCGGAAUUAUUGGGUUUAAAGGGUGCGUAGGCGGAUAGAUAAGUCAGUGGUGAAAGACGGUGGCUCAACCAUCGCAGUGCCGUUGAUACUGUUUAUCUUGAAUAUGGAUGAGGUAGGCGGAAUGUGGCAAGUAGCGGUGAAAUGCAUAGAUAUGCCACAGAACACCGAUUGCGAAGGCAGCUUACCAAGGCAAAAUUGACGCUGAGGCACGAAAGCGUGGGGAUCGAACAGGAUUAGAUACCCCAGUAGUCCCUGUCUCUUAUAA